rnacentral:rRNA from 1 species
GGAUCUCUGGUUCUGGCAUCGAUGAAGAACGCAGCGAAAUGCGAUAAGUAGUGUGAAUUGCAGAAUUCCGUGAAUCAUCGAAUCUUUGAACGCACAUUGCGCCUAUUGGUAUUCCAAUAGGCAUGCCUGUUCGAGCGUCAUUUUAAGCCUUCAAGCCUUGCUUGGUGUUGGGCGUUGUUUGCGUGUGCAGACUCGCUCCAAAUGCAUUGGCAGUCAGCAAUGGGGUUGUUGGAGCGCAGCACAUUUUGCGUUCCCAGCCCCGGGGUGCCGGCGUCCACAAAGCAGCUUAUUUUUAACGUUUGACCUCGGAUCAGGUAGGGAUACCCGCUGAACUUAAGCAUAUCAAUAAGCGGAGGA